rnacentral:miRNA from 1 species
UCCCUCCUUCUGUCCCCACAG